ACUCCUACGGGAGGCAGCAGUGGGGAAUAUUGCACAAUGGGCGCAAGCCUGAUGCAGCCAUGCCGCGUGUGUGAAGAAGGCCUUCGGGUUGUAAAGCACUUUCAGUUGUGAGGAAAGGUUGAGUCGCUAAUAUCGGACUAGCUGUGACGUUAUGCAACAGAAGAAGCACCGGCUAACUCCGUGCCAGCAGCCGCGGUAAUACGGAGGGUGCGAGCGUUAAUCGGAAUUACUGGGCGUAAAGCGCGUGUAGGUGGCUUGUUAAGCCAGAUGUGAAAGCCCCGGGCUCAACCUGGGAACUGCAUUUGGAACUGGCAGGCUAGAGUUUUGUAGAGGGUUGGUAGAAUUUCGAGGUGUAGCGGUGAAAUGCAGUAGAGAUCUGAAGGAAUACCGGUGGCGAAGGCGACCACCUGGCCCAAUAACUGACACUGAGACGCGAAGGCGU
rnacentral:rRNA from 1 species